ACUCAAAUGAAUAGACGGGGGCCCGCACAAGCGGAGGAGCAUGUGGUUUAAUUCGAUGAUACGCGAGGAACCUUACCUGGGCUUGAAAGUUAGUGAAUGCUGUAGAAAUAUGGCAGCUAGCAAUAGCACGAAACUAGGUGCUGCAUGGCUGUCGUCAGCUCGUGCCGUGAGGUGUUGGGUUAAGUCCCGUAACGAGCGCAACCCCUAUCAUUAGUUGCCAACAGGUUAAGCUGGGGACUCUAAUGAGACUGCCCGCGCAAGCGGUGAGGAAGGUGGGGAUGACGUCAAGUCAUCACGGCCCUUACGUCCAGGGCUACACACGUGCUACAAUGGCCGGUACAAUGGGCUGCCACAUGGUAACAUGGAGCUAAUCCUUAAAACCGGCCUCAGUUCGGAUUGAGGUCUGCAACUCGACCUCAUGAAGCUGGAUUCGCUAGUAAUCGUAGAUCAGCAAUGCUACGGUGAAUACGUUCCCGGGCCUUGCACACACCGCCCGU
rnacentral:rRNA from 1 species